rnacentral:SRP_RNA from 1 species
AGACCGGUCCCGCGCAACGCGGCUCCGUGAACCGUGUCAGGCGGGGAACCGAGCAGCACUAAGCGGCCCGCCGCGUGUGCCGCGGGGGAACUGUUCUUGA